CCUACGGGUGGCAGCAGUGAGGAAUAUUGGUCAAUGGACGAGAGUCUGAACCAGCCAAGUAGCGUGAAGGAUGACUGCCCUAUGGGUUGUAAACUUCUUUUAUAUGGGAAUAAAACGUUCCACGUGUGGGAUUUUGUAUGUACCAUAUGAAUAAGGAUCGGCUAACUCCGUGCCAGCAGCCGCGGUAAUACGGAGGAUCCGAGCGUUAUCCUGAUUUAUUGGGUUUAAAGGGAGCGUAGGUGGAUUGUUAAGUCAGUUGUGAAAGUUUGCGGCUCAACCGUAAAAUUGCAGUUGAAACUGGCAGUCUUGAGUACAGUAGAGGUGGGCGGAAUUCGUGGUGUAGCGGUGAAAUGCUUAGAUAUCACGAAGAACUCCGAUUGCGAAGGCAGUUCACUGGACUGCAACUGACACUGAGGCUCGAAAGUGUGGGUAUCAAACAGGAUUAGAUACCCCUGUAGUC
rnacentral:rRNA from 1 species